rnacentral:rRNA from 1 species
UACGGAGGGUGCGAGCGUUGCCCGGAAGUAUUGGGCGUAAAGAGCUCGUAGGCGGUGUGUCACGUCGGCCGUGAAAACCUGCAGCUUAACUGUGGGCGUGCGGUCGAUACGGGCAUCACUGGAGUUCGGAAGAGGCGAGUGGAAUUCCCGGUGUAGCGGUGAAAUGCGCAGAUAUCGGGAGGAACACCUAUGGCGAAGGCAGCUCGCUGGGACGUUACUGACGCUGAGACGCGAAAGCGUGGGGAGCAAACAGG